UACGAAGGGGGCGAGCGUUGUUCGGAAUCACUGGGCGUAAAGGGCGCGUAGGCGGCCCUUCUUGUCGCGUGUGAAAGCCCCGGGCUCAACCUGGGAAUGGCGCGCGAGACGGGGGGCUGGAGUUCGGGAGAGGAGGCGUGGAAUUCCCAGUGUAGAGGUGAAAUUCGUAGAUAUUGGGAAGAACACCGGUGGCGAAGGCG
rnacentral:rRNA from 1 species